CAUGAACGCUAGCGACAGGCUUAACACAUGCAAGUCGAGGGGCAGCGAGGGAGUGGCAACACUUCUGUCGGCGACCGGCGCACGGGUGAGUAACGCGUAUGCAACCUGCCCUUCACAGGGGGAUAACCGGGAGAAAUUCCGACUAAUACCGCAUACGUCCUCCGGGGGCAUCCCCGGGGGAUGAAAGAUUUAUCGGUGAAGGAUGGGCAUGCGUAAUAUUAGGUAGUUGGCGGGGCAACGGCCCACCAAGCCUACGAUAUCUAGGGGUUCUGAGAGGAAGGUCCCCCACAUUGGUACUGAGACACGGACCAAACUCCUACGGGAGGCAGCAGUGAGGAAUAUUGGUCAAUGGACGAGAGUCUGAACCAGCCAAGUCGCGUGAAGGAAGACGGAUCUAUGGUUUGUAAACUUCUCUAGUGCGGGAACAAAGCGGCGUCGUGACGCCGGAUGAGUGUACCGCAAGAAUAAGCAUCGGCUAACUCCGUGCCAGCCGCCGCUGUAAUAC
rnacentral:rRNA from 1 species